ACUUAUAUAAUAUAAUUUAUUAUCAUUGAUUUCCAAUCAAUAAAUCUAACUGCUAGUGUAAGUA
rnacentral:tRNA from 1 species